AUACUUUCGAUCCUCCAUAAACAUUGAGAAUUAAGCAUCAGCAUUAAUUUUACUACAAACAGGAAAAAUCUGUAGCAGUACUGACGGCAGAUUUUGUCUUAUUCCUCAUAUCUCUGCAGGGUCGAGCCGGGCUGGGUCUAGAGAGCGUUCUCUACCUGCGCGGAGACGAGAGACGGUGUAUUAAAGACCCGGUACACCGAGAUCCAGAGAAAAAGAGCUGGGCCCGGGUCGGAGGCCGGCAGGGCCCCGGGUGCCUGCACCGAACAGGGGUCAGGGUGAGCAGGGAACUGGCUGAGGCUUCAGUCUCCUGCUCGGGCGCUUACACUUUCCACCCACAGUCUCAGGUUUUUACACAGCUACGACUUUAAUUCCAUGGAAGCCAGGAAAUAUGGAAGAUCACUUGAGUAUGCGUUAAGCACUGUCUUUGGCACAAAUGCUUCAUGGGGUGGAAAAAUACACGGACUAAGUGAGUAGACUCACCAUUUAUCUACUUAAAUAGGGGUGGUAAUAAAAUUAGAUAUUUCUUCUAUUUAAUUUUUAUUUCUUUGUCCUGGUACAGAAAAAUUUGUUUUCAAAUG
rnacentral:lncRNA from 1 species